rnacentral:lncRNA from 1 species
AUUAUGGACUCCCACACGCAGCGGCCACCAUAUGCUGUGGGGUCCUCAUCUCAGGUGCCCACAUUCAGAUAAGAUUUGGGAUAGACCAUAAAUUCCACAAGGACAGGGAUUUUUAAAAAUUUGUGUUUACUGAUGCCACUCAAAAGCCUAUAAUCAGUAUAAGCCUGACACAGACAGGUGCUCAGGAAACAAUUUUUGAAUGAAUGACUAGAUGCUGAAUUAUUUGCUUGGUAGGAUGAGGAUGGGCAUUUCCAACAUAUUGCAACUGGAAACAGUGUUCCACGUUUAGAACUCCUCUUCGCCUCAUGAGCUAAUUUGGCACAUUACUGGUCUGAGUGAGCUGUGGGUUGUCUCCACCAGGAACAGAGGCCACGUAGGGAGAGACUCCAACUCCCACUGAGAGUGGAAGGCCCCUUCUCCCCAGGGGCAGAACAACCGUCAGGACCCCCGCUUGACUGUCUUUGGUGGCAAGCAUGGCUGGAGUUGGCCACCCUGAGCUCAUUAUGUUGAGCACAGAGAAAUUUACCACAGGGGAAAGAAAGCAAUGCCAGAACCCUGGGCAGCCCAGGAAGAAGGCCACACUAAGCGUCUUGUGUUAAGGGUCCCUUCUCCCACAGAUGAGCCAUUUCUGGGCUAAAAUCCAUAUAGUUUUGUCCUUUCCCUCCCUAAGCUGUGAAGGAAGUGGGAGCAGUAGACAAAGCUGGGCAUCCACCCAGGGCUGGGCAGGUCUGGGGCAGA